UUAUUUCACUCAUUUCAUAAUUUCACUUCACAUAAUGUCUUUAAAGUUCAUUCAUGGAGCAUGUAUCAGAAUUUCCUUGCUUUUUAAGGCUAAAUAAUGUUCCAUUGUAUGUUUAUACCACAUUUUAUUUACCCAUUCAUC